rnacentral:rRNA from 1 species
CACGUAGGGUGCGAGCGUUGUCCGGAAUUAUUGGGCGUAAAGAGCUCGUAGGCGGUUUGUCGCGUCUGCCGUGAAAGUCCGGGGCUCAACUCCGGAUCUGCGGUGGGUACGGGCAGACUAGAGUGAUGUAGGGGAGACUGGAAUUCCUGGUGUAGCGGUGAAAUGCGCAGAUAUCAGGAGGAACACCGAUGGCGAAGGCAGGUCUCUGGGCAUUAACUGACGCUGAGGAGCGAAAGCAUGGGGAGCGAACAAG